rnacentral:rRNA from 1 species
CGGACGGGUGAGUAACGCGUGAGAAUCUGGCUUCGGGUUCGGGACAACAGUGGGAAGCUGCUGCUAAUACCGGAUGUGCCUAAAGGUAAAAGAUUAGUUGCCCGAAGAUGAGCUCGUGUCCGAUUAGCUAGUUGGUGUGGUAAGAGCGCACCAAGGCGUCGAUCGGUAGCUGGUCUGAGAGGACGAUCAGCCACGCUGGGACUGAGACACGGCCCAGACUCCUACGGGAGGCAGCAGUGGGGAAUUUUCCGCAAUGGGCGAAAGCCUGACGGAGCAAUACCGCGUGAGGGAGGAAGGCUCUUGGGUUGUAAACCUCUUUUCUCAGGGAAGAACAAAAUGACGGUACCUGAGGAAUCAGCAUCGGCUAACUCCGUGCCAGCAGCCGCGGUAAUACGGAGGAUGCAAGCGUUAUCCGGAAUGAUUGGGCGUAAAGCGUCCGCAGGUGGCUUAUCAAGUCGAUUGUCAAAGGUCCUGGCUCAACUGGGAACAGGCAGUGGAAACUGAAAAGCUAGAGUGCGGUAGGGGUAGAGGGAAUUCCCGGUGUAGCGGUGAAAUGCGUAGAGAUCGGGAAGAACACCAGUGGCGAAAGCGCUCUACUAGGCCUGCACUGACACUCAUGGACGAAAGCUAGGGGAGCGAAUGGGAUUAGAUACCCCAGUAGUC